AUGGACGAAAGUUUGACCGAGCAACGCCGCGUGAGUGAAGAAGGUUUUCGGAUCGUAAAAUUCUGUUGUUAGAGAAGAACAAGGACGUUAGUAACUGAACGUCCCCUGACGGUAUCUAACCAGAAAGCCACGGCUAACUACGUGCCAGCAGCCGCGGUAAUAAGUAGGUGGCAAGCGUUGUCCGGAUUUAUUGGGCGUAAAGCGAGCGCAGGCGGUUUCUUAAGUCUGAUGUGAAAGCCCCCGGCUCAACCGGGGAGGGUCAUUGGAAACUGGGAGACUUGAGUGCAGAAGAGGAGAGUGGAAUUCCAUGUGUAGCGGUGAAAUGCGUAGAUAUAUGGAGGAACACCAGUGGCGAAGGCGGCUCUCUGGUCUGUAACUGACGCUGAGGCUCGAAAGCGUGGGGAGCAAACAGGAUUAGAUACCCUGGUAGUCCACGCCGUAAACGAUGAGUGCUAAGUGUUGGAGGGUUUCCGCCCUUCAGUGCUGCAGCAAACGCAUUAAGCACUCCGCCUGGGGAGUACGACCGCAAGGUUGAAACUCAAAGGAAUUGACGGGGGCCCGCACAAGCGGUGGAGCAUGUGGUUUAAUUCGAAGCAACGCGAAGAACCUUACCAGGUCUUGACAUCCUUUGACCACUCUAGAGAUAGAGCUUUCCCUUCGGGGACAAAGUGACAGGUGGUGCAUGGUUGUCGUCAGCUCGUGUCGUGAGAUGUUGGGUUAAGUCCCGCAACGAGCGCAACCCUUAUUGUUAGUUGCCAUCAUUUAGUUGGGCACUCUAGCGAGACUGCCGGUGACAAACCGGAGGAAGGUGGGGAUGACGUCAAAUCAUCAUGCCCCUUAUGACCUGGGCUACACACGUGCUACAAUGGGAAGUACAACGAGUCGCUAGACCGCGAGGUCAUGCAAAUCUCUUAAAGCUUCUCUCAGUUCGGAUUGCAGGCUGCAACUCGCCUGCAUGAAGCCGGAAUCGCUAGUAAUCGCGGAUCAGCACGCCGCGGUGAAUACGUUCCCGGGCCUUGUACACACCGCCCGUCACACCACGAGAGUUUGUAACACCCGAAGUCGGUGAGGUAACCUUUUUGGAGCCAGCCGCCUAAGGG
rnacentral:rRNA from 1 species